rnacentral:rRNA from 1 species
GACGAGGGGUCCAAGCGUUUGUUCGGAAUCAUUGGGCGUAAAGCGGGUGUAGGUGGCUCUAUAAGUCAGGAGUGAAAGCCCCGAGCUUAACUCGGGAAGUGCUUUUGAUACUGUAGAGCUUGAGUGUGGGAGAGGAUCGUGGAAUUCCUGGUGUAGUGGUGAAAUGCGUAGAUAUCGGGAGGAACACCUGUGGCGAAAGCGGCUCACUGGACCGCAACUGACGCUGAGGCGCGAAAGCUAGGGGAGCAAACAGG